GAUGAACGCUGGCGGCGUGCCUAAUACAUGCAAGUCGAGCGAACAGAUAAGGAGCUUGCUCCUUUGACGUUAGCGGCGGACGGGUGAGUAACACGUGGGUAACCUACCUAUAAGACUGGGAUAACUUCGGGAAACCGGAGCUAAUACCGGAUAACAUUUGGAACCGCAUGGUUCUAAAGUGAAAGAUGGUUUUGCUAUCACUUAUAGAUGGACCCGCGCCGUAUUAGCUAGUUGGUAAGGUAACGGCUUACCAAGGCAACGAUACGUAGCCGACCUGAGAGGGUGAUCGGCCACACUGGAACUGAGACACGGUCCAGACUCCUACGGGAGGCAGCAGUAGGGAACCUUCCGCAAUGGGCGAAAGCCUGACGGAGCAACGCCGCGUGAGUGAUGAAGGGUUUCGGCUCGUAAAACUCUGUUAUUAGGGAAGAACAAACGUGUAAGUAACUGUGCACGUCUUGACGGUACCUAAUCAGAAAGCCACGGCUAACUACGUG
rnacentral:rRNA from 1 species